AUUGAACGCUGGCGGCAUGCCUUACACAUGCAAGUCGAACGGUAACAGGUCUUCGGAUGCUGACGAGUGGCGAACGGGUGAGUAAUACAUCGGAACGUGCCCGAUCGUGGGGGAUAACGAAGCGAAAGCUUUGCUAAUACCGCAUAAGAUCUACGGCUGAAAGCAGGGGACAGCAAGGCCUUGCGCGAACGGAGCGGCCGAUGGCAGAUUAGGUAGUUGGUGGGAUAAAAGCUUACCAAGCCGACGAUCUGUAGCUGGUCUGAGAGGACGACCAGCCACACUGGGACUGAGACACGGCCCUGACUCCUACGGGAGGCAGCAGUGGGGAAUUUUGGACAAUGGGCGAAAGCCUGAUCCAGCCAUGCCGCGUGCAGGAUGAAGGCCUUCGGGUUGUAAACUGCUUUUGUACGGAACGAAAAGACUCUUUCUAAUAAAGAGGGUCCAUGACGGUACCGUAAGAAUAAGCACCAGCUAACUACGUGCCAGCAGCCGCAGUAA
rnacentral:rRNA from 1 species